rnacentral:rRNA from 1 species
CCUACGGGAGGCUGCAGUGAGGAAUAUUGGUCAAUGGGCGCUAGCCUGAACCAGCCAAGCAGCGUGAAGGAUGACUGUCUUCUGGGUUGUAAACUCUUUCUACAGGGGAAUAAAGUGCAGUAUGUAUACUGCCUUGCAUGUACCUUACGUACAAGGAACGGCUAACCCCGCGCCAGCAGCCGCGGUAAUACGGAGGGUCCGAGCGUUAUCCGGAUUUAUUGGGUGUAAAGGGAGCGUAGGCGGGAUGUUAAGUCAGGUGUGAAAGUUUGUGGCUCAACCGUAGAAUUGCAGUUGAUACUGGCAACCUGGAGUGCGGUAGAGGAAGGCGGAAUUCGUGGUGUAGCGGUGAAAUGCGUAGAUAUCACGAGGAACUCCAGUGGCGAAGGCGACCAGCUGGAAUGUAACUGACGCUGAUGCGCGAAAGUGUGGGUAGCAAACAGGAUUAGAUACCCGUGUAGUC